GACGAACGCUGGCGGCGUGCUUAACACAUGCAAGUCGAACGGAAAGGCCCCCUUGUGGGGUACUCGAGUGGCGAACGGGUGAGUAACACGUGAGUAACCUACCCUUGACUUUGGGAUAACUUCAGGAAACUGGGGCUAAUACCGGAUAGGAGCUCCUGCUGCAUGGUGGGGGUUGGAAAGUUUCGGCGGUUGGGGAUGGACUCGCGGCUUAUCAGCUUGUUGGUGGGGUAGUGGCUCACCAAGGCUUUGACGGGUAGCCGGCCUGAGAGGGUGACCGGCCACAUUGGGACUGAGAUACGGCCCAGACUCCUACGGGAGGCAGCAGUGGGGAAUAUUGCACAAUGGGCGGAAGCCUGAUGCAGCAACGCCGCGUGCGGGAUGUCGGCCUUCGGGUUGUAAACCGCUUUCGCCUGUGACGAAGCGUGAGUGACGGUAAUGGGUAAAGAAGCACCGGCUAACUACGUG
rnacentral:rRNA from 1 species